GUCGAGCGGAAACGAUCCUAGCUUGCUAGGAGGCGUCGAGCGGCGGACGGGUGAGUAAUGCAUAGGAAUCUGCCCGGUAGUGGGGGAUAACCUGAGGAAACUCAGGCUAAUACCGCAUACGUCCUACGGGAGAAAGCAGGGGCUCUUCGGACCUUGCGCUAUCGGAUGAGCUUAUGUCGGAUUAGCUGGUUGGUGAGGUAACGGCUCACCAAGGCGACGAUCCGUAGCUGGUCUGAGAGGAUGAUCAGCCACAUCGGGACUGAGACACGGCCCGAACUCCUACGGGAGGCAGCAGUGGGGAAUAUUGGACAAUGGGGGCAACCCUGAUCCAGCCAUGCCGCGUGUGUGAAGAAGGCCCUCGGGUUGUAAAGCACUUUCAGUGAGGAAGAAGGCUUGUCGGUUAAUACCCGGCAAGAAAGACAUCACUCACAGAAGAAGCACCGGCUAACUCCGUGCCAGCAGCCGCGGUAAUACGGAGGGUGCGAGCGUUAAUCGGAAUUACUGGGCGUAAAGCGUGCGUAGGCGGCUUGAUAAGCCGGUUGUGAAAGCCCCGGGCUCAACCUGGGAACGGCAUCCGGAACUGUCAGGCUAGAGUGCAGGAGAGGAAGGUAGAAUUCCCGGUGUAGCGGUGAAAUGCGUAGAGAUCGGGAGGAAUACCAGUGGCGAAGGCGGCCUUCUGGACUGACACUGACGCUGAGGUACGAAAGCGUGGGUAGCAAACAGGAUUAGAUACCCUUGUAGUCCACGCCGUAAACGAUGUCGACUAGCCGUUGGGGUCCUCGAGACCUUUGUGGCGCAGUUAACGCACUAAGUC
rnacentral:rRNA from 1 species